rnacentral:rRNA from 3 species
ACGGAAGGCAGCAGUGGGGAAUAUUGCACAAUGGGGGAAACCCUGAUGCAGCGACGCCGCGUGAGUGAAGAAGUAUUUCGGUAUGUAAGGCUCUAUCAGCAGGAAAGAAAAUGACGGUACCUGACUAAGAAGCCCCGGCUAACUACGUGCCAGCAGCCGCGGUAAUACGUAGGGGGCAAGCGUUAUCCGGAUUUACUGGGUGUAAAGGGAGCGUAGACGGCUUUGCAAGUCUGAAGUGAAAGCCCGGGGCUCAACCCCGGAACUGCUUUGGAAACUGUAGAGCUAGAGUGCAGGAGAGGUAAGUGGAAUUCCUAGUGUAGCGGUGAAAUGCGUAGAUAUUAGGAGGAACACCAGUGGCGAAGGCGGCUUACUGGACUGUAACUGACGUUGAGGCUCGAAGGCGUGGGGAGCAAACAGGAUUAGAUACCCUGGUA